rnacentral:rRNA from 1 species
GAAUAUUGCGCAAUGGAGGGAACUCUGACGCAGCGACGCCGCGUGAGCGAUGAAGGUCUUCGGAUCGUAAAGCUCUGUCCUUGGGGAAGAAGGGUGCAUUAUAGCAUCCUGACGGUACCCGAGGAGGAAGCCCAGGCUAACUCCGUGCCAGCAGCCUCGGUAAUACGUAGGGGGCAAGCGUUGUCCGGAAUUAUUGGGCGUAAAGGGUGCGUAGGCGGCCUUUUAAGUCAGAUGUGAAAGCCCACGGCUUAACCGUGGGACUGCAUUUGAAACUGGAGGGCUUGAGUAUCGGAGAGGGUAGUGGAAUUCCCAGUGUAGCGGUGGAAUGCGUAGAUAUUGGGAGGAACACCAGUGGCGAAGGCGACUACCUGGACGAAAACUGACGCUGAGGCACGAAAGCUAGGGGAGCAAACA